rnacentral:rRNA from 1 species
GAUUGAACGCUGGCGGAAUGCUUUACACAUGCAAGUCGAACGGCAGCACGGGGGCAACCCUGGUGGCGAGUGGCGAACGGGUGAGUAAUGUAUCGGAACGUACCCUGUCGUGGGGGAUAACUCUCCGAAAGGAGAGCUAAUACCGCAUACGACCUGAGGGUGAAAGCGGGGGACCUGCAAGGGCCUCGCGCGAUGGGAGCGGCCGAUAUCGGAUUAGCUAGUUGGUGAGGUAAAGGCUCACCAAGGCGACGAUCCGUAGCGGGUCUGAGAGGACGACCCGCCACACUGGAACUGAGACACGGUCCAGACUCCUACGGGAGGCAGCAGUGGGGAAUUUUGGACAAUGGGGGAAACCCUGAUCCAGCCAUUCCGCGUGAGUGAAGAAGGCCUUCGGGUUGUAAAGCUCUUUCAGCAGGAACGAAACGGUAGGCUUUAAUACAGUUUGCUAAUGACGGUACCUGCAGAAGAAGCACCGGCUAACUACGUGCCAGCAGCCGCGGUAAUACGUAGGGUGCGAGCGUUAAUCGGAAUUACUGGGCGUAAAGCGUGCGCAGGCGGCGACAUAAGACAGAUGUGAAAUCCCCGGGCUCAACCUGGGAACUGCGUUUGUGACUGUGUUGCUAGAGUGUAGCAGAGGGGGGUGGAAUUCCACGUGUAGCAGUGAAAUGCGUAGAGAUGUGGAGGAACACCGAUGGCGAAGGCAGCCCCCUGGGUUAACACUGACGCUCAUGCACGAAAGCGUNGGGGAGCAAACAGGAUUAGAUACCCUGGUAGUCCACGCCCUAAACGAUGCCAACUAGGAGUUGGGGGAGGAGACUUCCUUAGUACCGUAGCUAACGCGUGAAGUUGGCCGCCUGGGGAGUACGGUCGCAAGAUUAAAACUCAAAGGAAUUGACGGGGACCCGCACAAGCGGUGGAUGAUGUGGAUUAAUUCGAUGCAACGCGAAAAACCUUACCUACCCUUGACAUGUCCGGAAUCCUGAAGAGAUUUGGGAGUGCUCGAAAGAGAACCGGAACACAGGUGCUGCAUGGCUGUCGUCAGCUCGUGUCGUGAGAUGUUGGGUUAAGUCCCGCAACGAGCGCAACCCUUAUCAUUAGUUGCCAUCAUUUAGUUGGGCACUCUAAUGAGACUGCCGGUGACAAACCGGAGGAAGGUGGGGAUGACGUCAAGUCCUCAUGGCCCUUAUGGGUAGGGCUUCACACGUCAUACAAUGGUCGGUACAGAGGGUUGCCAACCCGCGAGGGGGAGCUAAUCUCACAAAGCCGAUCGUAGUCCGGAUCGCAGUCUGCAACUCGACUGCGUGAAGUCGGAAUCGCUAGUAAUCGUGGAUCAGCAUGUCACGGUGAAUACGUUCCCGGGUC